rnacentral:rRNA from 1 species
UACGUAGGGUGCAAGCGUUAAUCGGAAUUACUGGGCGUAAGCGUGCGCAGGCGGUGAUGUAAGACAGUUGUGAAAUCCCCGGGCUCAACCUGGGAACUGCAUCUGUGACUGCAUCGCUGGAGUGCGGCAGAGGGGGAUGGAAUUCCGGCGUGUAGCAGUGAAAUGCGUAGAUAUGCGGAGGAACACCGAUGGCGAAGGCAAUCCCCUGGGCCUGCACUGACGCUCAUGCACGAAAGCGUGGGGAGCAAACAGG